GACGUAGGGCGCGAGCGUUGUCCGGAUUUAUUGGGCGUAAAGAGCUCGUAGGCGGCUUGUCGCGUCGAAUGUGAAAUCUCAGGGCUCAACUCUGACAUUGCAUUCGAUACGGGCAGGCUAGAGUUCGGUAGGGGAGACUGGAGUUCCUGGUGUAGCGGUGAAAUGCGCAGAUAUCAGGAGGAACACCGAUGGCGAAGGCAGGUCUCUGGGCCGAUACUGACGCUGAGGAGCGAAAGCGUGGGGAGCGAACAGG
rnacentral:rRNA from 1 species